CCUACGGGAGGCAGCAGUGGGGGAUAUUGCACAAUGGGGGGAACCCUGAUGCAGCGACGCCGCGUGGGUGAAGGAGCGUUUCGGCGCGUAAAGCCCUAUCGGCAGGGAAGAAGAUGACGGUACCUGACCAAGAAGCCCCGGCUAACUACGUGCCAGCAGCCGCGGUAAUACGUAGGGGGCAAGCGUUAUCCGGAUUUACUGGGUGUAAAGGGUGCGUAGGCGGGCAUUUAAGCCGGCGGUCAAAUGUCGGGGCUCAACCCCGGCCUGCCGUCGGAACUGGGUGCCUUGAGUGGGCGAGAAGUAUGCGGAAUGCGUGGUGUAGCGGUGAAAUGCAUAGAUAUCACGCAGAACUCCGAUUGCGAAGGCAGCAUACCGGCGCUCAACUGACGCUCAUGCACGAAAGUGUGGGUAUCGAACAGGAUUAGAUACCCUUGUAGUC
rnacentral:rRNA from 1 species